CAGGUGUGAGAGGAGACAGAAAGUAACUAUGAACAGUGUCAUCGCCAUGUUGAAAUCCUUACUUCUCCAACUAUCUGGAACAAUGCCUUACAGGGUGAACAGGUUUUGAAUCGUAGGCUGAUUGCCCUGCUGUUUCACCAGCAUCAGCAAAGAAGAAGUUAUAAACAUUGAGGCAAGGAGAAGCAGCUCGCCAGACAGCACUGCCACACGCUGAAUAGGAGGUGGAACGUUUUCUCCUGAUCAGACCGGUUUCCGUUUGACGUCUUGAAGAAGCAUUCCCGUCGGAAAUCCCCGUUAUGAGACUAACAAACAUCCUCCUCGCUAUCCUCCAGUAUUCACUCGAAUUUGCAUGCUUGUGUCUGAUGCUGCCAAGACUCACUCUCUGUGCAAUGCUAAUCAAUUCCUGCAGUGGCUGGAUAAGACCACUGCACCCUCCCUUUGAGUGAGAGCCAACACUAAUAUGAAUGACUCAUUUGCAAUGUAAAACAUCAUCAAUUAGUAAUCCAGCACAGAGGGUGCAUGGAAACCUCCACUUCACCUAAAAAAACUAGCAAUAAAUAAAAACCUGUUUCACAAGA